GCCAGAACUUCUAAAGUACAAGGCACUGCACAUGCCAUUCACGAGAAAAAGCGCAGGAAGCCGGAGACGGCCUUCGCGAACCCGGAUUUGUUUGCGCACUGUUGGCACAUGUACGUGCUCGUAUAGCCUUCGCCACUGCACCGUUGGAGGCGGGUGUUAUCGCGGGCGUCCACGUCGGUCUCGAGGAUAUUGCAGUACCAGCAGCAGCG
rnacentral:misc_RNA from 1 species